rnacentral:lncRNA from 1 species
CUAAAAAUGAAUAUGAAAAUAUAUAGACAAACGACUGUAGUACCUGCAUGGCAUGAUAAUAGGGUGGUAGACAUCAUCACAAGAGCUACCAAGAGUAGGGCUCUUGUGUUGUUCUUGAUAAGUUCCAUGAGGAAUGGUUUCUUGUUUCUUUAUUUCUACGUAUGUGCAAGUAUCCUUGUAGUUUGCACUUGUCAACCUAUGCCUUUUGUGUUGGUGUUUAUAUAAGCAUGACCAGACCUGGGAGGAUCAGUUCUUGCCCUUCUACUUUUGGCUGGAGUUGAUUACUACUUAUAAAACUGAAUAGAUAUAUACCAAAGUAUUUUGUGUUAAACAAGGAUAUAUACCAAAGUAUAUCUUGUGCAUAAGUUGUUAUUAAUUGGUUCUUAAGUUCUGAUAUUUGAAAUUAUUUGGUGCUUUAAAAUGACAUACAUAUCACACAGUAAAAGUUAUCUUUGACAUAGCUUGUUAUCUUCUUAAAAAUGGUGGAUUAUUAUUUGCUCUGAAUAUUGGCGAAUGUAAUUACUUGAUGUUAAGUUCUCUUAAAGUAUAUGAUCUAGAAUCUCCUUUUACUGAUAGGAUCUCAAAAAAAAAUUAGUAUUGAUCAUGAUAUUUGAAAUAUUUGACAUGACAAAGAAAAUAUUUUUUUUUUGAGGCUAAGUGAUAAUAUCAAUAGGAUGUUAUUCGAAUAAGAACAACUAAUUAUUAAUCUAUGUGGAGCGUGCUAGGUCUAAUGCCAAAGCAGACCAAGCACUCCGCAUGUUAAGAUAUGUCUGCAACGCUCGUGGAUACACUUUAUCGGUGUGUAGCACCCCAAUUUAGUUUCGAGCAAUUCAGUAAAUUCAAUACUGCAACCAAUGCACAUGCCUGACUAGUGUUUAUUUUUAGGCUACAAGAUACCGCAACACGGGGAGAAAAGCAGCAACACUACUUGGGUGUGGCCUAUAAGGUUAGAUGCCUCUAACCAAACCGGUGGAUUGAAUGUCUAUAGAGCUCUAGUGCAUAUGUCGACAUGGCACAAAUCAUCCUUCAUCAGAUUAACCCCUAUAGAAAUCUAUAUAUAGGCAUGAACAUUCUCAAGAAAAUCACUGUCAGAUAUAUAGAAUACAUACAAAUGAAUUUGUACCAAAGUGCUGAUACAAUGUAUUGUGAUGUACAAUAUGAUGACAACAAUACAUAUGUUCUUAUUACAACAUCAAAAAUGGACAUAAAUUAUAUUGACCACUCAGGAGACUGAGAGACUAUUCAUAGUCUCCAAACAUGUCGGUUGAGGCAUAUUCAACCAUCACGUUCUUCGUGCCCAUAUGGUCCCCUCACCUUUGAUGAUGUCAGGUUGAUGGUUGGAGUGGGCUUCAAACCUUUGCCCUUAAGGCCCUUUGUAUCGCAGGGAUUGCUAAUACAGAAUAACCAGAUGCUGAGAUCUAGAUCGAUAUAAUGCCUUAUGAUGCAUAAGGUAACAUAUUUAUCCUGUUAGCGGUGUGACUCCAAGCAUAGGUGAAUCCGACAGGUCUUGGAUUGCACAUAUUAUCCCACGUGACACAAGAGCGAUCAUGAUGUCCAUGGCCCAGGUAGGGCUAUGGUGGCCAUUGAGGGCGAAUGCCUCAAAUUCUCUAGCCAUCGGUUACCAGAGAUAAUUAAUUUAUGAUCAGUAAAUUAACGACCAUCAUGGUUAGUGUUCUAAUGAAUUUUGCAAAAUUAAUGGAUAUUUCAAGAACUUAGGUUGAAAUCAUUAGUGUGAAUCUCAAAUUGCUAAGUAUGACAUCUUGAAGAUAGUCUUCAAAAUGGAUUAGAUCUCGCAGCACCAAGGAGUAUAAUCUGAUGAAAUCAGUAGAUACUCACUCGUAAUGUCUUAUGUCACGACAUAGUAAAAUAUGUGGGAGAGCACUUAAUUUGUAAAGUAAUCAUAAUGUCAAGAUGACAAAAUGUUGGCUUUAACAGUAGUGGUGAUAAUUUGCAAAGCAGUAAAUCUACACACUACCUUGUGACCUCAAUACAUCAAUUUGAAGAAAUCACUAAAAAAUUUGCAUUCAUAUUUGCAAGAAAUUAACAAUCUCAAUUGCAAAUAGACGUAAUUAAUCUCGACACGUGACAAGCGUGAAAAUAUAUUACAUCAACUUAGGUUCUGGAAUACAUUGGUACUCAACAGAAAACAGUACUGAAAUAUAACAUGUAAAAACAUGAAUGAAAUCACUUCUAGAACUACUGCUAGGUGAGAUAUCUGCUAAUAUGUUAAAUCAAUGGAGCAAAUAGCAAGUAAAGCAAGCGUUGCUGGCUGCCUAAAGUCCCAGCCACAAGCAAAUUGGCCACGUAAAAGGCAGCCUAGCCUGGUCAACCCGAGCAGACAAGGGAGAGCGACCAGAGGAAAAAUCGCCCAGGAGCUUUCUAUCCCAAAUCCGGACCGAGACAGGCGGAGACCCCAGCGCUGGCCGACCGGCCGCAUCACCGACGGCGAGAAGAGAUCCCGCCGCGCUCGUCCUCGAAUGAGUCACCAGGGAGGACUCGCGAGCCCGAGCGCCUCGGCACGGCCGGAGCGGCUGCUCGACGGUGGGCUCACCAGCGGGACGCCGAGUGGCAAGGGAGCCGCGUCCCGUGGAGGACGGCAUGCACGGGUAUCCCGGCAGCAAGAAGGCGAGCGCGUGGCUGGCGACGACCUCGACGACCGCGGGGGUCGGAGAUGGCAGCGGCGCAGCCUCGUGCGUCUGCGAGCACCGCGUCGGGAGGUGCGAGUCAGACCGCACCGACUGUCGCUGUCGUUCCUUGACUGUAUGGCGCGGUUCCGUCGUACGCCAGUGCCAGGAGCCGGUGAAAGAAGAUAAGGAGGGCGCGUGGCAAGAUACGGCACCGUGGCUGAUGCUAGUGCUUUCUACAGAGUGAAAAAAACAUGGUGAAGUACCUUUUUUCUUCUCAUAUGGCAGUUUGUUGGUUGCUAAAAAAAACGAGACCAACUGUGACGCCCGGAUAAUUAAGCUACAGUGAUCCCACGCUAAUAUUGCCACGUCACCAUGGUUACUGCUGCUAAUCUAUCGCUAGAUCAAAACCGGUCCAAAAUUCAAAUUCAAAGUUUGGUAAAUAAUAAAAAAUUCAAACAUUAAAAUAAAAAUGUUUGGUUUGUACUAAAUAUUGCAUAGGUAAUUAUGGUGGAGAGACCACACUUCUAUAAAAUGUUAAAUAAUCUAAAAUGAAUAAAUAGUAGCUAAAACAAUUAAUAAGUGCUUUUUGAAUUUUAUAAAAUACUAAACUAUUUUGUUCAGGGGUAAAACCUUUUGUGACGGUAGUUGGAAUUGUAACUCUAUUUUAGAUGUGGGUUUUACCUUUUGUAAAACUAUAAAAUAUUAAAGAAAUAAAAGAAAACGGAAAGCAAAGAAAAGAAUAAAAACAAAAAAAGAAACUAGAAAAAAGAGAGGAAAGGACCCCCCCACUGGGCCAACNNNNNNNNNNNNNNNNNNNNNNNNNNNNNNNNNNNNNNNNNNNNNNNNNNNNNNNNNNNNNNNNNNNNNNNNNNNNNNNNNNNNNNNNNNNNNNNNNNNNNNNNNNNNNNNNNNNNNNNNNNNNNNNNNNNNNNNNNNNNNNNNNNNNNNNNNNNNNNNNNNNNNNNNNNNNNNNNNNNNNNNNNNNNNNNNNNNNNNNNNNNNNNNNNNNNNNNNNNNNNNNNNNNNNNNNNNNNNNNNNNNNNNNNNNNNNNNNNNNNNNNNNNNNNNNNGCUUUCCCCCAUCCGCCGCCACCUGCGUGCUCGCACAUAUCGCGCCCGGGAGAGGAGCUCCCCGCGCACGUCCCCUUCGCGAGUGCCUCCUACCACCGUGAAUGCAAGCCGCUCCGGCGAUGCUUCGCUACCCUGCCACCCACCGGCUCCCUUCCCCCUCUUCCUCUGCGCCUCCCCGUCGCCCCUGCCCGACUGCCUUGUCAUCGGCGGCCCGCGCCGCGCCGGCCAUCAGAGCAACCAGCCAGCACCACCAGCUCCUCCCGCGUGACGACCAUGUCGUUCUCCAUCGUCUGCGUCCGCUUGUCGCCCCGCUCACCGUCGUCGCCUCGCCAUCGCCGGACCUCCUCGUCCCCUUCCUCGAGCCGUCUUCAUCAAGCCUCGCCGGCGUACAUCUACAACGUGGGGUGAGGACCCGUUCUUCCCCUUCCCCCUUCGGUUGCCGGCGACGAUUGCAUCCAGCACCGAACCUGCCGUGGGCCGCUCCCUUGUACUAUUCGCUGCGCCUGCAGCCGGCGCCCUCACGCGCACACGCCCGUGCGUGGCCUCAUUGCCGCUGCUGCCGUGCUAUGCCAGCCGCUCGCCUCGCGCCGUCACAGCCGCCGUUCGGGUUCGCCCGUUAACGGGCGCCUGCCCGUCACCCAUUUCCCUUUCGCCCGUUCAGGCUGUGCCCAUCGCCCAUGCCUGCUAUGGCCCCAGGGGCCUAUGACAAGUGGGCCCUUGCCCUAGAACGUUUAUAAAAAUGUUAAAACUAAUUAGUUAAUUAAUUAAUUAGUGAAUUAAUUAAAUUAAUUAAUUCUGUUUAACUAGACUAAUUAAAAUUAGUUAACAUAAUCCAGUAAUUAAACUAAUUAACCAUGUUUAGUUAAUCUAUGGCUAUGACGGGCGUGACCCACCUGCCAGGGUUGACCUAGUCAACCUUUGGUCUUGCUGACAUCAUGUAGAUGUCAUGCUGACAUCACAUUUAUAUUUUGUAAUUAAAUUAGUUCUGUUAAUUCUAAAAAUGAAUUAAAAUUUCGAUAAUUAAUAUAAAAUAAACCGUAACCUGGAUGAAAAUACUUUGUACAUGAAAGUUGCUCAGAACGACAAGGCGAAUCCGAAUACGCAACCCGUUCGUCCGCCACGCGUCCCUAGCAUAGCAAACAUGCAACUUUCCCCCUUCGAUUCAUCUGUCCGAAAACGCGAAACACCGGGGAUACUUUCCCGGAUGUUUCCCCCUUUCGCCGGUACCACCUACUGCCACGUUAGGGCACACCUAGCACCGCGUAUUGCCAUGUUACGCUUUGUGAUGCUUUGAUUGCUCCAUUAUUUAUUGUGUUCCCCCUCCAUUACUUCUUUCCGGUAGACCCCAAGACUGCCAGCGACCCCAGUUCGACUAUGAAGUUGACGACCCCUCCUUGCCAGAGCAACCAGGCAAGCCCCCCCUUGAUCACCAGAUAUCGCCUAUUCUCCUCUAUACUGCUUGCAUUAGAGUAGUGUAGCAUGUUACUGUUCGGUUACUCCUAUUCUGUUGCAUAGCCUGUCAUUGUUGCUACAGUCAUUGAUACCUUACCCGCAGUCCUAAAUGCUUAGUAUAGGAUGCUAGUUUAUCAUCAUUGGCCCUACAUUCUUUUCAUUCUGCCUUGCUAUACUAUCGGGUCGUGAUCACUUGGGAGGUGAUCACGGGUAUAUACUAUACAUAUAUACAUACUAUACAUAUAUACAUACUAUACAGAUGGUGACUAAAGUCGGGCCAGCUCGUUGAGUACCCGCAAGUGAUUCUGAUGUGGGGGCUGGAAGGACAGGUGGCUCCAUCCCGGUAGAGGUGGGCCUGGGUUCCCGACGGCCCCCGACUAUUACUUUGUGGCGGAGCGACAGGGCAGGUUGAGACCGCCUAGGAGAGAGGUGGGCCUGGCCCUGGUCGGCGUCCGUGGUUAUUUCAUAAUAACACGCUUAACGAGAUCUUGGUAUUUGAUCUGAGUCUGGCCACUGGCCUAUACGCACUAACCAACUACGCGGGAACAGUUAUGGGCACUCGACGUCGUGGUAUCAGCCGAAGCCUUCUUGACGUCAGCGACGGAGCAGCGCGUGCCAGAUUGGACUGGAACGCCUACUCUUGUAUAAGGGAGGCUAGGUCUGCUUCCGGCCGCCCUCGCAACGUGCAGGUGUGCAAUGGGCGAUGGGCCCAGACCCCUGCACGCAUAGGAUUUAGACCGGUGUGUUGACCUCUCUGUUGUGCCUAGGUGGGGCUGCGACGUGUUGAUAUUCCGAGGCCGGGCAUGACCCAGGAAAGUGUGUCCGGCCAAAUGGGAUCGAGCGUGUUGGGUUAUGUGGUGCACCCCUGCAGGGAAGUUAAUCUAUUCGAAUAGCCGUGAUCUUCGGUAACAGGACGACUUGGAGUUGUACCUUGACCUUAUGACAAGUAGAAUCGGAUACUUAAUAAAACACACCCUUCCAAGUGCCAGAUACAACCCGGUGAUCGCUCUCUAACAGGGCGACAAGGGGAGGAUCGCCGGGUAGGAUUAUGCUAUGCGAUGCUACUUGGAGGACUUCAAUCUACUCUCUUCUACAUGCUGCAAGACGGAGGCUGCCAGAAGCGUAGUCUUCGAUAGGGCUAGCUAUCCCCCUCUUAUUCUGGCAUUCUGCAGUUCAGUCCACUCAUAUUGCCUCCUUACACAUAUACCCAUGCAUAUGUAGUGUAGCUCCUUGCUUGUGAGUACUUUGGAUGAGUACUCACGGUUGCUUUUCUCCCUCUUUUCCCCCUUUCCCUUCUACCUUGUUGUCGCAACCAGAUGUCGGAGCCCAGGAGCCAGACGCCACCGUCGACGACGACUCCUACUACAUUGGAGGUGCCUACUACUACGUGCAGGCUGCUGACGAUGACCAGGAGUAGUUAGGAGGAUCCCAGGCAGGAGGCCCGCGCCUCUUUCGAGCUGUAUCCCAGUUUGUGUUAGCCUUCUUAAGGCAAACUUGUUUAACUUAUGUCUGUACUCAGAUAUUGUUGCUUCCGCUGACUCGUCUAUGAUCGAGCACUUGUAUUCGAGCCCUCGAGGCCCCUGGCUUGUAAUAUGAUGCCGGUAUGACUUAUUUUACUUUUAGAGUUGUGUUGUGAUAUCUUCCCGUGAGUCCCUGAUCUUGAUCGUACAUAUUUGCAUGCAUGAUUAGUGUACGAUUGAAUCGAGGGCGUCACAAGUUGGUAUUAGAGCCGACUGCCUGUAGGAAUCCCCUUCCACACUCCUUGGCCAAAGUCGAGUCUAGUCACUACAAAACUUUUACUAACAUGGCUGCGUGUCUUACGGGCCCACGUCUCCAUUUGGGUGGUAUUAGGAUCUUUUACUCCUCGUCUAUACUCUGGGACUCUGAUCUCUCUUCUAUUCGGGUUAAAUGAUUUUGCUAAAAAGACUAACUUUAGGUUCUCGAAAAUACUUUCUCCCGGAGAGCCCUCACUCCAGAUGAUCGCUUGCCGCACCAGAAGAUUCCGAAGAUACUCUUCGAGGUUUUUCCGAGACCCUUGUGCCCAUCGACUUUAUAAUCCCCUACCACCGAUAAACCCUUAUGGAUAACUACCUACAAUUGUCGUUCAUACCUUCAUCCUCAGUUGCUCUUGUUAUUACAAGAUGCCUUAAGUUGCUCUACGUUGUUCCGAAAAUCUUUUAAGCUUACUGUGUUGCAGUUCUCUACCACAUGAAUACCCCUAUUGAAAAUUCCUCGCACUUAUUGAGUAUCCGUUCAUCCCCAGUUGUUCAUAUGCUUCAUAAGAGUCUCUGAAAUACUAUCCGACCUUCUGAGCAUCCUCUUCAAACUAUUGCUCUGCAAAUACUUGUAUGCUUACAUUAUGGAUGCUCCCAUAUCACUAGCAAUAUUCACUAGUAUCUUUUGACACUGUCAUUUUGAUCCUAUUGAUUCAACAUGUGUGCGAAUGCACACAAUCAUCAAUCGACCCUUCUAAAUUAUCUUUCCGUCUCAGACAUCAUUCUGAACAUGAACUGGUUCUAGACCAAACUAUUUGUCGUCAAUUGUGCCUCUGGUCUAUCCAACUUAUCCAUCCUUGAUCAUAGCGUCUGCUUCUGAUCCCUUGUUUUGGAAAUCAUAAUUCCUUUGUUAUCUAAGCAUCGAAUUAUUCGGAUAUUCUAUAAUCUGAUGCCCGUGCAUUCUUUCUUCCUCUGAUUGAGUACUGAUACUCAGAUCAGCUCCGGUGUGGAUCGCCCGAUCCAUUGUUGGAUUUCAUCCGACAUCGUCUUUCAUAUUCAAUAACCUUGUGAGCCUUUCCACGGGUAUAUAAUGCCUUUGGUAAAUUGUAUCCUUUGCUUGGCCAACCAUGCUCUGCUUUCAAGCUUGUGUAUUUACUUUUGAAACUUGUGGUAUAUGUUACUAAGAUGCCCGAUGGGUUGAACCUAUGCCUUCCCCUAAUUCGUGAGAACCCGAAAGUUUUCACAAGUCAUACUCUUCUGGUGUUUUACCAGAUAAAAUUCCAAAACUACAGUUAUAUCAAAGCGAGAGGUGAAUGAAAUGAUAUGCAUUAAAGAAGUGGGAGUUAACCUUGAACUUUGUGUUCAUGCCCAUGAAAAUGAUGUAGACCAUCUCGGAAGCUUCUUGCAAAAUGAUUAUCCAGCUGUAUGAUUCUUUCGGUAUUCUUGAAUUGAUUCCUUACAGUUAUGGUUCCGACCAUGCUGUCCUGAUCUGAUAUAUCUGAUGGGAAUUCAUUCCAAUGCCUCGUCUAUUUUUGGCGAGGUUAAAGUAUCUACUAUCACAGAUCAAUGACCCGGUUCUACUUCUAUCAUGUUCUACCUUCGAGUAUUACCCCUGGUAUCUCAAAGAUAUCUUGCCAUUGCACCACAUCUUACUAACUUUGUUGAAGUAAUGUCUUUCCUUGUCGUAAUCACUCUACGGGUUCCGGGUUGUUGUCAACCGAGGACACCGACUAGUGAAAUUAUUCUGCACUACAAAUCAAAUACCCCUAGUAUUUUUACUAGGAAAUUUUGAACUCAAUCUGCUCAUUCCUAGACUAUCGGCUGCAUCCUGGUCUUGCUACCUUUGACUGUGCUACCUCGUCCUUCUCUAGUGCACGAAUUCUUCAGUGUGUGAGCACGACUUACGUCGAGCUUUCAACAUCAUGUUGCUUGUCUUCAAAGGCAACUUUGGUUCCGAGCUUGCAUCUUAUAUAUUGAUCCUAUAACUUGCCACUUCGUCAUUUCCUUGCUUGUUGCCAUUGUUGUUUGAUUGCAUCCUCUUGAAACCUCCCGGCAAAUGUGUCGGAUCACCUUCAACACUUUGACUUCUUUCGAGAUGUCAACUGUGUUCAUCAUGAGAAAUACCCUCCUUGCCCUCGAUGAUUUUUAGUAUCAUCGACAACACCCUUGACUUUCCUUUCAUCGCGAACUUGUCCACAUUAUGAAUACAACUUGCUUUCCAGCUUGUAUUAUGUUCUACCUUGAAGUAUUACUAUCUUUUAUGUCAAGGAUGUUGUGAGGAUUGCUCCACCUCUUGAGAGUUCCUAGUAUAGUGAUACUUCUCACCAUCACCAUUAAUUCUUGUUCCCUAUGUCAAUUCUAACUGGUACACCGACAAGUGAACGGUACUCUUUGGAUUCUGCACUUCUAGUGACCCUAUUGCUUUGAAGUUAAUGGUCUACAUUUCAUUCUUAGACCAUUGGUUAUCGAAUCAUCGUUCUAAGCAUUGAUCAUGCUACAUAGGCCCAUAUUUUGGGUGCACCUUUUCAACCAAUGUUUAAUUGUGUAUGUUUUCCUCGAGCAUACAUCAUUAUAUCAUCUGAUCUGACUGAUGUUAUCUCCUUGUUCACAUGAUUGUGGAAAUCCAUAUUUCUGGAAAUUUUGAUGGGUUGUCGCUGAGUCCAUCAGCCACCUCCGCAUCCUCUCUUUUGUUUACUAUGAACUCUUGUUUCGGUACUCGCUUCCAUAGUUCAUUUUCCGAGAAUUUUACAAUGUCAUCUCGUCAAUUUGUGUUGUACCUUUUCUUCUCAGGCAUCCCGAGUCUGAGGAUUUUGACACCAAUCAGAUCUGAAUCUUUGUCAGAUAUGAUGGUUGGGACAUAUUUCCAAGAGUUAUAACAUUGGUAUUUAUAUGACCCAGUAAGGUGAUGUCAUGCCUAGCACACCUGGCCCGAGUCCCUAUUGUUAUAGAAUCCUUUUCAGCAAGGCUAUCCAUUCUUCCAUGAGGAAAUUGUAAGACUUACCCUAUAAGUUGUUUCCGAUGAAUCCUUUGUGUUUCCAAAGUUUGAUCAUCAGCUGAUGACCAUGCCAAUGCUAUCUCGAAGCAUGUCUGUGGUACUCCGAUUUUCAACAAGAACAUUUGAAGCCCAAUGCUAAAUGUUUCUUACUCAAUUAUCCAAACACCGUUGCAUGGGUAAUGUCAUGAAAUUUCUCUCCCCUUACCUAAAGGGUUUUCUACAUUAUAUCCUGUCAUGGAUAUCAUGCUCGGCUUGUCCUUGGGAAGGAUAUACCCUGAAAUAUGUGUUUAAACACAUAUUCCUUUCCAUUAAAUUGUUUGACCUUCCUUGUGAUCCAUAUGAUCUAAGCACUAAUGUUCUUCUGCUUAUGUAAACACCUUAGUGUACAACCGUGUCAGUAAGACCCUGUUGCAUUUCUCGAUAGCAUUCCGGUAACCACCGAUGGACGAGAACUUUGCCUAUUGGUCCGCCUCGUCCUAACGAGCAGGAAAAUGGUUCUCUUUGUCCCUCGCCCUUGGUACCGACGUUAUUGCCGACAUAAUCGGCAGGCUACCCUCAGACAUGCCUUGCUUGCAUGAUCACGCAAGACGUCUCCGCCCUUCCUACUUUUAACCCACAUGGUGGGCCCAUAACCCACAGUUCCACAUGAUCGAAACCUGACUCUCCUGUGCACCCCCUGUUCCCAAAUUUAUUCCUCGCGCGUGGCCUCGUAUGUAAUUCACGGACCACCGUCCUACUGAUCUAUACUGGCAUAAGACAAAAUACUUAUUCUGAUUGCUUUGAACCCCUUUCACACUCUGUUUCAGGCAUCGAACGAUUGCCUGCCGCUUGAAACUUCUCAUGACACCUUCCUACUUUGCUCUCGAUAUUUUCUAAAGGUUUUUAAUUCGAGAGUUACUUCCCCCACCUUCCCCGAUGUUAUCAACAAGUUAGUCAACCUUGCAGAGGUCUGUUCUCCCAGCCCCUUUAUUCUUUCAUAAGUACGGUGAAAGUUCCUGAAGAAAGGAUGCCGACUUCAUCAUGAUGACUGGAGCAGAGAAAUAAAGAAAUCAACGAAAGGGAUCAACUUCUUCGAGAAGAGCAACCGAAACUGAGAAGAUCCGUUAGAUUUUUUGUAACCCAAUCCUUUUCCCCUUACUCCCCUCCUAAAUCUCGGGACGAGAUUUCUUGUAGUGGAGGAGAAUUGUGACGCCCGGAUAAUUAAGCUAUAGUGAUCCCACGCUAAUGUUGCCACGUCACCACGGUUACUGCUGCUAAUCUAUUGCUAGAUCAAAACCGGUCCAAAAUUCAAAUUCAAAGUUUGGUAAAUAAUAAAAGUUUUCACACAUUAAAAUAAAAAUGUUUGGUUUGUACUAAAUAUUGCAUAGGUAAUUAUGGUGGAGAGACCACACUUCUAUAAAAUGUUAAAUAAUCUAAAAUGAAUAAAUAGUAGCUAAAACAAUUAAUAAGUGCCUUUUGAAUUUUAUAAAAUACUAAACUAUUUUGUUCAGGGGUAAAACUUUUUGUGAUGGUAGUUGGAAUUGUAACUCUAUUUUAGGUGUGGGUUUUACCUUUUGUAAAACUAUAAAAUAUUAAAGAAAUAAAAGAAAACAGAAAGCAAAGAAAAGAAUAAAAACAAAAAAAACAAAACUAGAAAAAAGAGAGGAAAGGAACCCCCCCCCACUGGGCCAACGGGCCCAACUGGCCAGCCAGGCCCCCUCGCGCCCCUCGCCUAUAUGGCCUGCCCUCCCGGCCAACCCUAGCCACACCAUCCUGCACUCCUCGAUCCCCAUCUCUCCCCUCGCUUUCCCCCAUCCACCGCCACCUGCGUGCUCGCACAUAUCGCGCCCGGGAGAGGAGCUCCCCGCGCACGUCCCCUUCGCGAGUGCCUCCUACCACCGCGAAUGCAAGCCGCUCCAGCGAUGCUUCGCUACCCUGCCACCCACCGGCUCCCUUCCUCCUGUUCCUCUGCGCCUCCCCAUCGCCCCUGCCCGACUGCCUUGUCAACGGCGGCCCGCGCCGCGCCGGCCAUCGCAGCAACCAGCCAGCACCACCAGCUCCUCCCGCGUGACGACCACGUCGUUCUCCAUCGUUUGCGGCCGCUCGUCAACCCGCUCAUCGUCGUCGCCUCGCCAUCGCCGGACCUCCCCGUGCCCUUCCUCGAUCCGUCUUCAUCAAGCCUCGCCGGCGUACAUCUACAACGUGGGGUGAGGACCCCGUUCUUCCCCUUCCCCCUUCGGUCGCCGGCGACGACCGCAUCCAGCACCGAACCUGCCGUGGGCCGCGCCCUUGCACUAUUCGCCGCGCCUGCAGCCGGCGCCCUCACGCGCACACGCCCGUGUGUGGCCUCAUUGCCGCUGCUGCCGCGCUAUGCCAGCCGCUCGCCUCGCGCCGUCACAGCCGCCGCUCGGGUUCGCCCGUUAACGGGCGCCCGCCCGUCACCCAUUUCCCUUUCGCCCGUUCAGGCUGUGCCCAUCGCCCAUGCCUGCUAUGGCCCCAGGGGCUUAUGACAAGUGGGCCCUUGCCCUAGAAUGUUUAUAAAAAUGUUAAAACUAAUUAGUUAAUUAAUUAAUUAGUGAAUUAAUUAAAUUAAUUAAUUCUGUUUAACUAGACUAAUUAAAAUUAGUUAACAUAAUCCAGUAAUUAAACUAAUUAACCAUGUUUAGUUAAUCUAUGGCUAUGACGGGCGUGACCCACCUGCCAGGGUUGACCUAGUCAACCUUUGGUCUUGCUGGCAUCAUGCACAUGUCAUGCUGACAUCAUAUUUAUAUUUUGUAAUUAAAUUAGUUCUGUUAAUUCUAAAAAUGAAUUAAAACUUUGAUAAUUAAUAUAAAAUAAACCAUAACCCGGAUGAAAAUACUUUGUACAUGAAAGUUGCUCAGAACGACGAGGCGAAUCCGAAUACGCAGCCCGUUCGUCCGCCACGCGUCCCUAGCAUAGCAAACAAGCAAAUUUCCCCCUCCGGUUCAUCUGUCCGAAAACGCGAAACACCGGGGAUACUUUCCCGGAUGUUUCCCCCUUUCGCCGGUACCACCUACUGCCGCGUUAGGGCACACCUAGCACCGCGUAUUGCCGUGUUACGCUUUGUGAUGCUUUGAUUGCUCCAUUAUUUAUUGUGUUCCCCCUUCGUUACAUCUUUCCGGUAGACCCCAAGACUGCCGGCGACCCCAGUUCGACUACGGAGUUGACGACCCCUCCUUGCCAGAGCAACCAGGCAAGCCCCCCCUUGAUUACCAGAUAUCGCCUAUUCUCCUCUAUACUGCUUGCAUUAGAGUAGUGUAGCAUGUUACUGUUUGGUUACUCCUAUUCUGUUGCAUAGCCUGUCAUUGUUGCUACAGUCAUUGAUACCUUACCCGCAAUCCUAAAUGCUUAGUAUAGGAUGCUAGUUUAUCAUCAUUGGCCCUACAUUCUUGUCAUUCUGCCUUGCUAUACUAUCGGGCCGUGAUCACUUGGGAGGUGAUCACGGGUAUAUACUAUACAUAUAUACAUACUAUACAGAUGGUGACUAAAGUCGGGCCAGCUCGUUGAGUACCCGCAAGUGAUUCUGAUGUGGGGGCUGGAAGGACAGGUGGCUCCAUCCCGGUAGAGGUGGGCCUGGGUUCCCGACGGCCCCCGACUGUUACUUUGUGGCGGAGUGACAGGGCAGGUUGAGACCGCCUAGGAGAGAGGUGGGCCUGGCCCUGGUCGGCGUCCGUGGUUAUUUCAUAAUAACACGCUUAACGAGAUCUUGGUAUUUGAUCUGAGUCUAGCCACUGGCCUAUACGCACUAACCAACUACGCGGGAACAGUUAUGGGCACUCGACGUCGUGGUAUCAGCCGAAGCCUUCUUGACGUCAGCGACGGAGCGGCGCGCGCCGGAUUGGACUGGAACGCCUACUCUUGUAUAAGGGAGGCUAGGUCUGCUUCCGGCCGCCCUCGCAACGUGCAGGUGUGCACUGGGCGAUGGGCCCAGACCCCUGCGCGCAUAGGAUUUAGACCGGCGUGUUGACCUCUCUGUUGUGCCUAGUUGGGGCUGCGAUGUGUUGAUCUUCCGAGGCCGAGCAUGACCCAGGAAAGUGUGUCCGGCCAAAUGGGAUCGAGCGUGUUGGGUUAUGUGGUGCACCCCUGCAGGGAAGUUAAUCUAUUCGAAUAGCCGUGAUCUUCGGUAACAGGACGACUUGGAGUUGUACCUUGACCUUAUGACAACUAGAACUGGAUACUUAAUAAAACACACCCUUCCAAGUGCCAGAUACAACCCGGUGAUCGCUCUCUAACAGGGCGACGAGGGGAGGAUCGCCGGGUAGGAUUAUGCUAUGCGAUGCUACUUGGAGGACUUCAAUCUACUCUCUUCUACAUGCUGCAAGACGGAGGCUGCCAGAAGCGUAGUCUUCGAUAGGGCUAGCUAUCCCCCUCUUAUUCUGGCAUUCUGCAGUUCAGUCCACUCAUAUUGCCUCCUUACACAUAUACCCAUGCAUAUGUAGUGUAGCUCCUUGCUUGCGAGUACUUUGGAUGAGUACUCACGGUUGCUUUUCUCCCUCUUUCCCCCCUUUCCCUUCUACCUGGUUGUCGCAACCAGAUGUCGGAGCCCAGGAGCCAGACGCCACCGUCGACGACGACUCCUACUACACUGGAGGUGCCUACUACUACGUGCAGGCUGCUGACGACAACCAGGAGUAGUUAGGAGGAUCCCAGGAAGGAGGCCUGCGCCUCUUUCGAUCUGUAUCCCAGUUUGUGCUAGCCUUCUUAAGGCAAACUUGUUUAACUUAUGUAUGUACUCAGAUAUUGUUGCUUCCGCUGAAUCGUCUAUGAUCGAGCACUUGUAUUCGAGCCCUCGAGGCCCCUGGCUUGUAAUAUGAUGCUUGUAUGACUUAUUUUACUUUUAGAGUUGUGUUGUGAUAUCUUCCCGUGAGUCCCUGAUCUUGAUCGUACACAUUUGCAUGCAUGAUUAGUGUACGAUUGAAUCAGGGGCAUCACACCAACCCCGCCUGGUGGCAUUUUUGUAUACAAGAAAACUCCAUGAGCACCAAACACUCAAGCAUAGACUUGAACCCUAAUGGGCUGGCUGCGAACUCCCGCGCCUUGCCAACUGAGCUACGCUCAAUUCUCAUCAGUUUGUUGAUUGCUAUUUUGGCCUUGAUGAUCUUUGAAUCGAUGGAUUCCAACACCCACUUAUUCUGUUGUCGAUUCAGAAGCGCCUCGUUUAUUCUGAUUUUGGCGAGUUAAUUGCACAGAAGUACCACAAUUGAGGCAUCACAUGCAGAUUGGUGCCACGAUUGCUAAUUUUUGCGUGUCAGUACCAACAUUGGUCCAGGUUUUUACAAAAGAGGCUAAAAUGCGUAUUUAUACGUAUUGACGCUAGAACCGACAACUGGGCCCCACCCGUCAGGUGCCACGCUGGCCAAUCGGCGCAUGCCUGCGUGUGCCCGCGCGCUGACUAGGACAAGCCGGUGCGUUGCUCUCCUAACCGGCGCGGUCGCACCAGCCCGAGCCCGGCCGCACCAUUCCCCUCCCCUCUUCCUCCUCGACUCGAACCCUAGUCCAUGGCGUCGACGACUCCGCCAGGCGGCGGUGAGGGCGUCCAUGGCGGCGGUGAGAUGUCGUUCUGGCCUCCUAGCGGAAUGGCUGGCGUGGACGGGGAUGGCGGCGACGACUCCAGCUCCGCGUACUCGUUCGACGACGAGGAGUCGAUGUUACUCACCAUGGAGCAGCGGUUGCGGUUGGCGCAUCAGUGGGUGGCGAACCCUAGCAGCAGCCAUGAGUUGACGCAUGGACUAGGCGACGUGUUGUAAGUACCCUUGUCCUACUCCUCCUCUGAUUUAUCCAAUUGGGCAUUUUUAGGGUUUGUUCAUCUUCUGCUUUAUCCAGUUGGGUAUUAGGUUUUAUCCAAUUGAAGUGACUAGUAUAGGACAAUUAAAUUAACCUAGUAACAUAGUGUAUUGCACUCUCAAAUUAGUUCAAUUACAGUAAAAGUUUGGGAUUAUGGUUUUACUAAGUGAAUUAUUGUGGCCUUGUCUUUUUCCUUGAUUUUGCUAUUGUGCUGAAUUAGUAAAGUACAUUGAUUCAUGUUUUAGCAUCUGUAAUAGUAAUAGUAAAUAUUAGACUUACAGGUUAUUUUAAAUUGUUCUGUACUGUAGUGUUGCUCUCCAAAUUAAGAGCAAUUAUAAUGAAUACAUGAAAUUUAAUUUGUUCUGUAGUUUUGAUGAAGACAUUUGGCAAGUAAGGAUCCAUUUUGAUGCAAGAGAACCAUUGGAGAUGAAGCUGUGUGGUUCAGAUAUUACUUAUCUGAAUUUGGUUGCAGUGAUGGAAACCCAAGGAUUUAAUGCAUAUGAUUGUUUGUAUCACAUUGAAAAUCCAUCUUUAGGAGAGAAAGGGCUGGAUUUGGUAGACAAUCAUGCAGAAUUACAGAUGAUAAAGAGGAAGAUCCAGGACAAAUUGGUGCUUAAUUUGCUAGUCAGGGCUUGUCCACCCCAUGAUACUGAUUUUGAGAUGCAACAUUUUGGAAAGCCAGAGUUGUCCACUGUGGUGUACCAAGAGCCUAUUGUUUAUGAUCCGAGUGAGCCUCCUAUCUUAGCUGUCGACCAGGAAGGAGUAGUUUUUGAGAGUCAAUGUAGCAUCUCUAGCACACCUCAUCCUGCUGGUCCUCCUGGUGUUUGCACACAAGAAAGCAAGAAUGCAACAGCCAAGUUAAAAUCAGUUUUGGAAGAAGAAGAAGAGGGAUAUCAAGGAUUUGAGGCUUAUGAGGACAGUGAUGCCUCUGAUGAGGAUGGUCAAAUUGGAAGUGACCCUCAUUACAUCGUUGAUGAUGAAGAUGUAGAGGUGGAAGAGGGAAAGAGACAGAGAGAGCUAGAAGUACAAGAGGAAGAACCAGAUGAUGAUCAAACAGAAGAGGAAGAAAUGAUGCAUUAUGAGGGUGACACUGAAGUUGAGGACCCAUUUGAGGUAGAGGAAGAUAGGACUUUUGAACAAGAAGAAGAAAUUAUAGUUGAGCCUGUAAAGAAGAAGCAGAAGCUGCCAGUUAGAAGAGGACCAACCACUAGGUCACAUUGUAGUAAGCUACCAGAGGUUGAACCUGAUUUCAGACCAUCAUCAGAUGAAGAAGAGAAGGGGUUGUUGAGGGAGAGUGAUGAUGAUGGUUUUGAGCCACUCUCUUUUGUCCUACUAAAGAAAAGGAAGAGUAGGGCAAAGAAAAGGCCUGCUAGGAAGUGUUACAAUGAGAAAAUGGAGCAACCACAUGAGCAACUGUGUAUAAAGUUGUGUUUUAGGGAUCAGCAUCAAUUCAGAGAUGCUUUGUUGAAUUUGCACAUCACUCAGGCCAGGGAUUUCAAGUAUCACAGGAAUUCAGAUCAAAGGAUAAUUGUUGAGUGUACAGAUAAACAAUGCCAAUUCUUAAUGGUGGCAGCAGUUAUAAAAGGGGGAAAACCUUUGUAAUUAAGAAGAUGAGACUAGAGCACACUUGCCCUAGUACCACUGAGACCACCAGGGUUAGUGCUAAGUGGCUAGCACAGAAAUAUGAGCAUCUCUUCAUAUCUGAUAUAACUACUGGUAUUCAGACUAUAAUUGAUGCAUGCAAUGAAAAAUAUGGUGUAGAUGUGCCCAAGUGCAUGGCAUAUAGGGCAAAGAACAUAGCUAUUGAAGCUGUGUUAGGAGAUCACAAGAAGCAAUAUACUAGGCUUAAAGACUAUGCUCAGACUGUCAUGGACACAAACCCUGGGAGUAGAGUAAUAGUCACUACUAUUACUCCAGUACCAAAUGCAAAAAUACCCCACCCAGGCCCAAGAUUCCAUGCCAUGUUCUUUUGCCUUAAUGGAGCAAGGGAGGGGUUUCUCAAUGGGUGUAGGCCAUUCACUGGUUAGUUCCCUAACCCUGUGCACCAUUUACAUACGUAGAGUACUCCAUAUUGUAUCUCACUUGAAUGUAUUUAAUGUUUGGAAAUGUUGAUUCUGCAGGUGUUGAUGGAUGCUUCAUUAAGCUCACUACAGGUGCUCAACUACUUGCUACCACUGGUAGAGAUGGCAACAACAACAUAUAUCCACUGGCAUUUGGCAUAGUUGGUCAAGAGGACACACCUAGUUGGUGUUGGUUUCUACACCAACUGAAAAUUUGCCUAGGGGGAGAAGUGGGCAAGUUUGGACCUUAUACUAUAAUGUCAGAUAGACAAAAGGUAUGUGUUUGCAUAUUUCAUUCUGUUUUGAACAAGUGUUUAAAGUAGCUUAGAUUUUCAUUGGUGCAUAUUUCUUUAGCUUGUAGCUUAGACUUGUUAAAUUGUUUGUGUCAGGGGUUAUUGAAUGCAGUGAAUGCCGUGUUUCCAAAUUGCAACCAAAGAUUCUGCCUUAGACAUUUAUAUGCAAAUUUCCAAAAUGCUGGAUUUAGGGGUGAAGAUCUUAAGAAAUGCAUGGAUAAUGCUAGCUAUGCCAACAAUGAACACAUAUUUAAUAUUGCAAUGAAUGAUCUUAGAGCUGAAAGUGAGGAAGUUGGGAAUGGCUUACUACAAUACCAAAAAAAACAUGGGCAAGGCAUGCAUUUGACACAAACUGCAAGACUGACUUGGUAGUGAACAACUUGUCUGAGGUGUUCAACAAGUACAUUCUAGAUGUUAGGAGAAAACCUAUAAGGACAAUGUGUGAUGGGAUAAAAUAUAAGUAGAUGGUGAGGUGGCACAUGAAGAGAGAGUGCAUAAAGGCAGCAAGAUGGGAGAUAACACCUCAUUACAGUGAGAAGCUAGAGGUUGAGAAGGAGAGGGCCAGAUACUGCAAGCCAAUACAGGCAGGGGGUCAACUUAUGGCAAGUUACAAGUGGGCAGCAAACAAAUGUUAUCAACCUGGAACUUGAGACUUGUGGAUGCAAGAAGUGGGACCUUAGUGGCAUACCUUGCAACCAUGCCAUCUCUGCAAUAAACAAGGCUAAAAAUAAACCAGAGGAUUAUGCCAGCAAAUUCUUCAAGAAAGAUUUUUAUGUUGCAGCUUAUGAACCAAUGAUCUUUCCUGUGCCUAGUGAGCAUGAUUGGACAAGGACCCCUAGUCCAGACAUAGAACCACCUGCAUUCAAAAUCAAGAGAGGAAGAAGGAAAGAAAAGAGGGUCAAGGGCAAAUUUGAAGUACCAAAGUCAAAAGACACUUCAAGAAUGGGGACCAUAACAUGUGGCAAUUGUGGUCUACAAGGGCAUAGGUACACAAACUGUCUUAAACAGUUGAAGCCUGAGCUAGCUUUGAGGAAGAAUAAGCAUGUGGUAAUAAUUUUUCACCUUGAAAUAUACUAAUGUUUCCUUUCUUGUACAUUUCUUUCUAUCAUUAUUAACUGUUUCCUUUUCUUUGUAAGGCUACUCCAAGUACCUCACAGCCAAGAGCUGCUGGUCCUUCUACUACACCAAUAGCAAGACAGCCAAGACAUGCUGCUUCUGCUCCUACACCACCAUCAUCUGGAAGAAGAGGAGCUGGCAGAGGAAGAGCUGCUACUACUUCUACUACUCCACCACCAUCUGGAAGAGGAGCUGGCAGAGGAAGAGCUGCUGCUACUUCUACUACCCCGUUCGUCCGCAGCAGCAGCGUCAACUCCACCAGGACCGAGGAGGGCGCGUCGGCAGCGUCAGGGAGGUUCACCUGCCCCGGCGGCCACGGCCACGGUCGGCGCCCACGAGCGGCCGCAUUGCAAGAAAGUCGCUCCGACGACGACAACCGCAGCUGGUAGCAACAGCAACGGCAACAGCGGUGGCGGUGCGAGAUCGGUUUACUACUACGGGUACGGAGGCGGCAGGAGCGGCAGCGACGGCCAUGGUGGCGGCGGGGUCCAGGUGAGCCCGGUGCUGAAUGUGACGUCCAUCGGCACGAGCGUGGUGAACAUGCUGAGCCACCUGCUGUGCGACUGUAGCGAGAAGGCCCCCAAGCAGCAGAGUAGGGGCUUCGGAGUGCGCUGCUGGGUAACCAGGUAGUAAUACAAGCAGUAGUACUACAAGUUAAGCGCACUCGUUAAAAUUGUUAUGAAAGCAACUUAUAUUAUUAGGAGGCCAAUGUCAACAUAUAUACACAUACAUGAGGAUGCCAAAAGGCUACAAGAGGAUGCCAAGAGACUAGAAUGCAAAAGGCCAAAAGACAUCACUUAAUAUGACUCUAACACCCCCCCUCAAACUCAUCGUGGAUCCACAACACUGAGUUUGGAGAGAUGAAAUCCAUGUUGCGCUCUAGUCUGAGCAUUCGUGAAGAAGUCCACUAGAUGUAACUCAGAAGGCACAUACUGAAGAGCAAAAACAUGAUCAUGCACAGCAGCGCGCACAUAAGAAGCAUCAACACCAAUGUGUUUGGUAAGCUCAUGCUUCACGGGGUCCCGCGCAAUACUGAUAGCACCUGUGCUGUCUGACAGGAGGGUGGUAGGUGUAGUAAUAGAAACACCAAAAUCCUCCAGUAACCAUCGUAACCAAGUCACCUCAGCCGUCAGAAGAGCCAUAGCUCGCAACUCGGCCUCUGCACUCAAACGAGAAACUGCAGUUUGUUUCUUCGUCUUCCAGGAAAUGAGGGAACCACCAAGAAAGACACAGUAGGCAGAAAGUGAACGGCGAUCCAUAGGAUCACUAGCCCACGUAGCAUCCGAAUAGGCCUGGAGCUGUAACGAGCUGUAACGGGAAAAAAGAGACAAUGAGAGAUCGUGCCAUGAAGAUAUCGUAGAACGCGAAGAAGGUGACUAUAGUGAACUGAAGUGGGAGCAGAAACGAACUGACUCAGAAUAUGGACAUGAUAGGAGAUAUCUGGACGAGUGACAGCAAGAUACACAAGACUCCCAACAAGAUGACGAUAACGUGUCGGAUCAGACAAGGGCUCACCAUCAGAAGCACGAAGGUGAACAUUGAGCUCCAUAGGAGUAUCAUUAGUGCGCUCAUCACUAAGAGCCGCACGAGUAAGAAGACCCUGGAUAUACUUUUCUUGGGAAAUAAAAAAGUCUGCAGAGGUGGAGGAAACCUCAAUCUCAAGAAAGUAACGAAGAGGACCAAGAUCAGACAUAAAGAACUGCUCAUUAAGACGGGCCUUGACAAAGGCAAUGUACUCAGAAUCAUCGCCGGUGAUGAUCAUGUCAUCAACAUAUAGAAGAAGAAGAGUGCGACCACGAGCAGAAAGGUGGACAAACAACGCUGGAUCGUGAUCACUGGGUGAAAAACCAGCAGCAGUGACCACAGAGGCAAAAUGCUCAAACCAAGCGCGAGGGGCUUGCUUAAGGCCGUAGAGAGAGCGACGAAGACGACAAACCAUGCCAUCGGGAACUGAAUACCCAGGUGGUGGCUGCAUAUAAACCUCCUCAUGCAACUCACCAUUAAGAAAGGCAUUUUUAACAUCAAGCUAUGACACGGACCAGUGACGAAUAGAGGCCACAGCGAAAAGUGUGCGGACAGUGGUCAUAUGGGCCAUAGGAGCAAAAGUCUCAUCAUAAUCACGACCAUGCUCCUGUUGAAAGCCGCGAGCCACAAGACAAGCUUUAUAACGCUCAAGAGAACCAUCAGAGCGAGUCUUAAUCUUAUAGACCCACUUACAAGUUAUGGGACGAACACGGGGAGGAAGAGAAACCAGAUCCCAUGUGCCAUUGCGCUCAAGUGUGGCAAUCUCCUCUGCCAUCGCAAACUGCCAUUCAGGAUGAACAAGAGCAUCACGAUAAGAGGUAGGCUCAAGUACAACCGAAAGGCCAUAUCGGCUAGGAGAAUAGCGGUCAGGAGGAGAGCAAGGUCGAGCCCGAAGACCAUAAGUCGGCUGGGACGAGGAAGACGGUGCACCAGAAGUAGAUGGCACGUCAGUAGAUUCAUCCAUAACACGUCGACAACGGGUAUAAUGAAAAGGAAAAGUGGGAUGAGAAGGAACCACCGGAGGUGAUGGAGAUGGUGAAUACAUUGGUGAUGAAGGUGGAGUGUCAUGCAAUAAGGAAGGAGAAGAAACGAUAGGAGAAGAUGGUGUCGGAUCUGCAAUAGUGGGACGAGAAGGAGGAGUAGGAAUAUGAGGCAUAGAGGGAGGUGUAUCAGGAAACGUGAGAAAAGAUAUAUCCUCUACUGAAAAGGUCGAAGAGGAUGGUCGUGGGUAGAAUGGACGAGACUCAUCAAAAGUCACAUCCCUAGAAAUACGCAUCCGUUGACCGACAUGAUCCCAACACCGAUAACCCUUAGGUUCAUCACUGUAACCCAGAAAAACACACUCAACAGACUGAGCGGUUAGUUUGGUGCGUUCUCAGGGGGCAAGGAGAACAUAACAAACACAACAAACAACCGAAGAGCAGAAUAAUCAGGAGAAUGAUCAGAAAGACGCUCUAGAGGAAUACCUCCCUGUAGAGCAGAUGAGGGUUGAAUGUUUAUGAGAUAUGUGGCAAUGGAGACAGCCUGAGCCCAGAAAUGAGGCGGAAGAGAUGCGGCAAUCAUCAUCGCACGAGAUGUCUCAAGAAGGUGACGAUGCUUGCGCUUAGCCACGCCAUUCUGAGCGUGAGCGCCGGGACAAGAGAAUUGAGCAAGAGUACCCUGCUCGGCAAGAAAACCACGCAACACUUUGGAGAUAUACUCGCCAGCAGAAUCAGCACGAAACACGCGAAUAGGUGUAGAGAACUGAGUGUGGACCAUGGCGGCAAAACGCUUAUAAAUAGAGAGAACCUCGCUACGAGAAGACAUGAAGUAAAGCCAAGUGUAGCGAGAGAAAUCAUCUAUAAAAAUAAUAUAGUAGCGAUGGCCCCCUUUGGAAGAGAAGGGAGCCGGACCCCACACAUCUGAAUGUACUAAAUCAAAAGGGCGCUGCGACACUGACUCGCUAGUAGGAUAAGGUAACUGAACUUGUUUACCAAGCCUACAACCCUGGCAUUGUAAGGAGACAUCUCCUGAGACAGGCCCCAGAAGACCACGACGAACUAAAGACCAUAGUCGAGAACCACAAAGGUGACCAAGUCGAUGAUGCCAUUGCUGGAAGGAGCUGGUAGUUGAAGCGGCAAAGGCAGAUGGACUGGCGAGUGUGGUGGUAGCGGAAGGAACAUUAAGCCAGUCCAACUCCCAAAGCCCUUGAGAAUCACGGUAGCGCGGGCCAGCCCCAACCAGAGCCUUCGUGUGACGAUCCUGGAUAGUGCAAGAAUCAACGUCAAGAAUGACACGACAACCAGAAUCAGUAAGCCGACCCGCAGAAAAUAGGUUCAUGGUAAGGCGAGGCACGUGAGAAACAUCUGGAACAUAAAAGGAAGAAGUGGCAAGAGUGCCUCGACUCGCAACAGGAAUUGGAGUACCAUCAGCAGUAAGAACAUUAAUUGGAAAAUCGAGAGAUCUACGAGAGGACAAGAUAGAAGAAUCGGAGGACAUAUGAAAUGAAGCUCCAGAAUCCAGAACCCAUGAGGAUGUACCUGACUGUGUAGACAGUGGUCGCUCAGCACUAGAAGCACCAGUCACAGAGCCUGCAGUACCUGUCGAAGAACCUGAAGCAGCAAGUAGACGCUUGAGCUUCACAAUAUCUUGCUCAGUCAAGGAGACAGUAGACGGCGUCGAGGAAGAAGCACGAGUUCCAAAAGAAGAAUUGCGCUCCCUAUUACGCAUACCACGCUUCUUCUUGAAGCAGUCAGACUCGGGGUGACCAUCCCUGUUGCAGUAGUCACAAUGAGUACGAGGACGAGAGCGGCCUUCACGAGAGCGGGCCUCACUACCCGGAGGAGUGGGCAGUAGCGGCGGAGCACUGGAGUGAGAAGACAUUGGUGGAGUAGCACCUCAAGCAGAGAGCACAGAGGGAACCUGAAGCAAACCAGCACCACGGAGGUGAGUCUCCUCAGCACGAAGCUCAGAAAGCACCUCAGAAAUAGGAACCCGGCCACGGGCAAACAACUGAGCACGUCGAGGCUCAAACUCCCCACGGAGCCGUGACAAGAACUCAUAGACGCGCUGAAACUCCAAGUCUGACCUCACAGUCUGGCAACACGGGCAAGUGCCACAAACAAUAGUGCGAAGGGAGUCAAGCUGGCGCCAUAUAGCAGAACUCUGAGUGUAGAACUCAUCAAUAGUGGAGUCUUCCUGCUGAAGAGCAUGCUCCUGACGGACCACAGACAAGUAGAGAGCAUCACCAGAGGGCUGAUAGCGCUGACGAAGAUGAGUCCACAUCUCAAAGACAGUACUGAGGCCUAUAAAUUCAGAAGCAAACUGAGGCAAAACACUGGAAGUGAGAACAGUCGCAGCACGAGCAUCAUCAUCACACCACUGAGUGUAAGCAGCCAGAUCGUCACGAUAAACAGAAAGAGCAUUUGAAUAAUCCAAGACCUCCUGGUCAUAAGCGGCAUCCGCAUCAUCAGCAGCAACCCUGGCUGCAGCCCUAUCAGCAUCAGAAGCAUCUGCGUCAAUAGCCGGUGGUGUCGGCGGUGGGGUAGGAGCCACAGGAGGCACUGGGCGCGGAGGACAGGGGACCUCACCGAAAAGAACACCCCAGAGACGAAUGUCACGCAUGUGAAUGCGCAUAAAGGCAACGAACUCAGCAUAGUUAGCCCCAUCAAAUAUCACUGGGCAGCGCGGGAUGGCAACAUAGCCAGAUGACGCCAAAGACAUGGUGCUCUUUUUUUUUUGAGAAUAGCAAAGAUCACCCAAGACUCAACUGGCCAAGAUGAGAGCGGCCAGAACCAGCAGCAGAUCAAUCAAACGAAAAGCCAGCCGAACAAGGAUCAAAUCGGUUUGACAGAGUUGCGAUCUGGAGCAGUAGACACCCGGACAAGAAACAGCAGCAGCCACUCACGUGACCACGCGAGCGCCCUGCAGGCAGCUGCGGAAGACAGCAGCGUCGCGGACGGGCCGGCGGCCGGUGGCAGCGGCGCAGAUGGGGCGGCGACCGGUGGCGCCGAAGAAGACAACAGUGAUGCAGACGAGGCCGGCGGUCGGGCGGGGACGGAGCGGUUGACCUCCGAUAGCUGCUGCCUCUGCUCGAUCGAGAGAUGAACCGACAGGCGGCUCGAGCAGGCUGCAGCGACGGGCCGGCCUGCAGACGGCAGCAGCGGCGCCGACGAGGACGGCGGCCGGCAGCCGUGGAAGGCAACAGCGCCGCUGACGAGGCCGGCGGCCGGCAGCCACGGAGGAAGACAAACGGCCGGCGGCGACCUUGGAUGAAGACAAGCGGCCAGCGGCUCAAUCGAUCGGGAUGAAAUCCGAUAUAGAAUCCAACACAGCGAUGGAUCAGCUAGCUAGCAUGGACGUGAAGCGCCUGUAGCUGGAGAUGGACAUAGGCAAAAGCAAAAUCACGGACCGGCAGAACAGAGAGCAACGGCGGCCGUGCAGAAGAUUGGACUGGAAGCAGCACGAGUUGCGCGUGUGGAAAAAAAAACCUAGAGCUCUAAUACCAUGUUAUGAAAGCAACUUAUAUUAUUAGGAGGCCAAUGCCAACAUAUAUACAUAUACAUGAGGAUGCCAAAAGGCUACAAGAGGAUGCCAAGAGACUAGAAUGCAAAAGGCCAAAAGACAUCACUUAAUAUAACUCUAACAAAAAUUACUGACUGGUUGUCCACUUGUCGCCAUGGUUGCUUGUAAGUAAAGUAAGAUGGAAAGAUGAAUCAAUCCAUGUGAAUCGUGACCGAUUGAUGGAUUCAGUGCGUCUAUGCGACGGGACAGAGUAUUGCUUUGUGCAUGCAUGGAGGAUGCCCUAGCCCUAUUGGUUGUGUCGUUGGUUAGUGGGUGUCAAGGCAUGGAUAGAUCGGGGGUUGAGAGGGACGUGCAUGUGGUGUUGUGGGGGGAGGAAAGAGAGAUGAUUCAUCGGCCAUGAGAGACCGAUGGAGUGCAUGGGGACUCGGUGUCCCCGCCCGGGUUUCCUGCCGGGCUGGGCUUGCUUGGCGUCGCAGCAUGUCUCUGUCUCUCGCACGGAACACACAGUUUUAUUACUCCAAUCAUACAUACUCCCUCCUUUCCGGUUUAUCAUGUGUUGAUCAAGUACUCCCUCCGGCCCCAAAUAGGGAGUGUACAGGAUCAUGUGCUUGUUUGGGCCGUCGGCAUUGUUUUGGCCGUCGGGGUAUGGCCCUGUUCCGGUAGUGAAUACGUCCGCGCUGGCGUAACAUUUUGCAAAGCGAUUCGAAGGGUUUCCUCGUACUUCCAUUCUUCGGCGGCGUGUUCCAGUAAAGCUGAUCCUGGCAGUUGGUAGGACAUCGGCAACGGCGCUGUGCGUGCAUGUCUCACCGGUCGGCAGCGCGACGUGGACGGCGGCGAGCCUUAACUACGGGAGGUGAGGAGGCUGGAGGGCCGGGAUCACCGACCGCCCACUUGGUGGGCGGCGGACCUGGCCCCAUGCCCAUGCUCUCUCACUAUCGGCGGCCCUGGAUCGGAGGGCUGGAGUGAGGCCCGUGCGCGUCUCGUGAGGCCUUCGUGCCUGACUCAGGCCCGAUCAAUUGAUUUUAAUGCAAAAAUAGAUUAACCUUUCCUUGCUUAAAAAACAACAACAAUUGGUUCCUCUCUUCUGAAGAACUCAUCACAGUCAAAUUUCUGAUAAAUACUUUAUUGAAUCUUUUGCAUGAACUAGACAGAUCCAUGGCGCGCAUGUAUCUUAGCCUAUCUUACACGCAUCGUUUUAUUGUUUCUACGUCGUUUAAUUAGAGCAGCAGCACGAACCACCAUUGUCUGGUUUACAGUGGCUCUUUUUGAAUUCGAAAAACGAGCAGUGGUUCCUGCACGCCUCCUCGGAUUCAUGGCCUUUCUCACAGCUUGCAAAACGCACACACAAGUCCAAGGGGAUUGGUUUUGUUGAACCUGUGCACGA